AACGAACGCUGGCGGCAUGCCUAACACAUGCAAGUCGAACGAGACCUUCGGGUCUAGUGGCGCACGGGUGCGUAACGCGUGGGAACCUGCCCUUAGGUUCGGAAUAACUCCCCGAAAGGGGUGCUAAUACCGGAUAAUGUCUUCGGACCAAAGAUUUAUCGCCUUUGGAUGGGCCCGCGUUGGAUUAGCUAGUUGGUAGGGUAAAAGCCUACCAAGGCGACGAUCCAUAGCUGGUCUGAGAGGAUGAUCAGCCACACUGGGACUGAGACACGGCCCAGACUCCUACGGGAGGCAGCAGUGGGGAAUAUUGGACAAUGGGCGAAAGCCUGAGCCAGCAAUGCCGCGUGAGUGAUGAAGGCCGUAGGGUUGUAAAGCUCUUUUACCCGGGAUGAUAAUGACAGUACCGGGAGAAUAAGCACCGGCUAACUCCGUG
rnacentral:rRNA from 1 species